UGGGGAAUCUUGGACAAUGGGCGCAAGCCUGAUCCAGCCAUGCCGCGUGAGUGAUGAAGGCCUUAGGGUUGUAAAGCUCUUUUGCCGGGGACGAUAAUGACGGUACCCGGAGAAUAAGUCCCGGCUAACUUCGUGCCAGCAGCCGCGGUAAUACGAAGGGGACUAGCGUUGUUCGGAAUCACUGGGCGUAAAGCGCACGUAGGCGGAUUUGUAAGUCAGGGGUGAAAUCCCGGGGCUCAACCUCGGAACUGCCUUUGAUACUGCGGAUCUCGAGUCCGAUAGAGGUGAGUGGAAUUCCUAGUGUAGAGGUGAAAUUCGUAGAUAUCAAGAGGAACACCUGAGGUGAAGACGGGUUGCUGGGCUGACACUGACGCUGAGGUGCGAAAGCGUGGGGAGCAAACAGGAUUAGAUACCCUAGUAGUCCCUGAGCGGGCUGGCAAGGCGCAU
rnacentral:rRNA from 1 species